rnacentral:tRNA from 1 species
GCCUGUGUGACACAGUGGUUUGAGUGUUGGACUAUGACUCUGGAGACCAGGGUUCGAUUCCCAGCUCUGCCA